GAAAAACAAGACCUACUAAAGGAACAAGAAUUGAUGGAAGAUAAGAUGUCAUAAGAAUAUUGUCUUCGUCUUUGUUUGUUUUUUUUUUUUUUUUUUU
rnacentral:ribozyme from 1 species